AACGAACGCUGGCGGCAUGCCUAACACAUGCAAGUCGAACGAGACCUUCGGGUCUAGUGGCGCACGGGUGCGUAACACGUGGGAAUCUGCCCUUUGCUUCGGAAUAACAGUUAGAAAUGACUGCUAAUACCGGAUGAUGUCGAAAGACCAAAGAUUUAUCGGCAAAGGAUGAGCCCGCGUAGGAUUAGGUAGUUGGUGGGGUAAAGGCCUACCAAGCCGACGAUCCUUAGCUGGUCUGAGAGGAUGAUCAGCCACACUGGGACUGAGACACGGCCCAGACUCCUACGGGAGGCAGCAGUGGGGAAUAUUGGACAAUGGGCGAAAGCCUGAUCCAGCAAUGCCGCGUGAGUGAUGAAGGCCUUAGGGUUGUAAAGCUCUUUUACCAGGGAUGAUAAUGACAGUACCUGGAGAAUAGGCUCCGGCUAACUCCGU
rnacentral:rRNA from 1 species